GGCGGGCAGGCCGGCCUGCUGCGCCCGCAAGGCCAUGGGCCAGGGGGCACAGACAGACAGCGGGAGCUGGUGCCCUAGCUUGGGGAGGGGUCAGGCAAGGCCUUUAGAAAGCAGCAGCCUUGGGCUGGGCCUUGGAGGGUCCCACGCCCAGGGCUUUUUCUCACUUGACAGGCCAGUAGGGCCCUCCACCACCCAGACAACCCACGGGCAGGGAAGUCCUGGCUGCCGGAGCUUUUACUGAGCUGUGUGGCCUCAGUCUUCCCAUCCGUGAGAUGGGCUGUGACCGCGGUGUCCUCCCCCAGCGCUGGGUGGGGCUGCAAGCAGUUGGCAAGGUUCCACUCCUGCAGGUGGAUGGGCUAGGCUCUCUGGCGCCCCGGGCUCUGUGCGCAGGCUCAAGGGGGUGUCCAGAGCAGGCAGCUCCUCUCUGCAUUCCUGCUCCCGGGCAGCCUGGUGCCAGCCAUGCUGGCUGCUGGCACCCUCUGUGAUUAUCCCACCAGUCCCCACCCGGUUCAGCCUGUCCACCUGAAUGCACGCACUGAGGCCCUGUAAAAUUGAUGCAGACAAUCAGCCGCAUCAGACGUGAGGAGAGACAGCUCCCCAGGCACCAGGAGGGGAGGCGAGGCUCCGAGGCUUGCGGCUGCCGGAAAGCCCAUCGGGGCCUGAGCCAGCCCUUCCUUCCUGGGGGAGACGGCAGCCAGGGCCCUGCCCCUCAGAGAGCCUCUCCUCGGGGUUUCCUGCCGGGUACAACCGACUGCUCCCCGCUGGUCCCAGUGUGACAUGCAGCUUCCGGUUCACACUGGACCCCAAGAAUCCACUCCCACCAGCACCGUGGACAGAGGCUCCUCAGCCAGAGCGGGACUCAGGGGAUCUGGGGAGGGCCAGGCAGAACGGCCUCUCAGGACAGCAGCGCCUACACGGCCCACACCAGCACUGCCCAGCAGCCUUGCUGAAGACACCCGGACGUGGACGGCUACCUGCGUGCACAGCCACUGUGGUCGGCGCCUGGCCCACCCCGUCUGCCCUCCGCCCGAGGUCAGGGCAGACCACACGCCCUGGGUCUACCCCACCCCAGCAGUCCUUGAUCCCUGACAGCUCAGAAUAUUCUGCUUUCAGUGGACAAGUGAGCUCUCUCACUUCUUAUAUAUAUAUUUGGUCACAUCAUGCAGCAUGUGGGAUCUUGGUUCCCUGACCAGGGAUCAAAUCCACGUCUCCUGCAUUGGAAGCUCGGCAUCUUAACCGCUGGACUGCCAGGGAAGUUCCCUCAUUUCUCUUUCAAUAAAGUCAUCUCUGUGAAAAU